rnacentral:rRNA from 1 species
CAGCCGCCGCGGGAAUACGAAGGGUGCAAGCGUUACUCGGAAUUACUGGGCGUAAAGCGUGCGUAGGUGGUGGUUUAAGUCCGUUGUGAAAGCCCUGGGCUCAACCUGGGAAUUGCAGUGGAUACUGGGUCACUAGAGUGUGGUAGAGGAUAGUGGAAUUUCCGGUGUAGCAGUGAAAUGCGUAGAGAUCGGAAGGAACAUCUGUGGCGAAGGCGACUAUCUGGCCAACACUGACACUGAGGCACGAAAGCGUGGGGAGCAAACAGGAUUAGAUACCCCCGUAGUCCCUGUCUCUUAUACC